rnacentral:rRNA from 1 species
GACGAACGCUGGCGGCGUGCUUAACACAUGCAAGUCGAACGGAAAGGCCCUGCUUUUGUGGGGUGCUCGAGUGGCGAACGGGUGAGUAACACGUGAGUAACCUGCCCUUGACUUUGGGAUAACUUCAGGAAACUGGGGCUAAUACCGGAUAGGAGCUCCUGCUGCAUGGUGGGGGUUGGAGAGUUUCGGCGGUUGGGGAUGGACUCGCGGCUUAUCAGCUUGUUGGUGGGGUAGUGGCUUACCAAGGCUUUGACGGGUAGCCGGCCUGAGAGGGUGACCGGCCACAUUGGGACUGAGAUACGGCCCAGACUCCUACGGGAGGCAGCAGUGGGGAAUAUUGCACAAUGGGCGGAAGCCUGAUGCAGCAACGCCGCGUGCGGGAUGACGGCCUUCGGGUUGUAAACCGCUUUCGCCUGUGACGAAGCGUGAGUGACGGUAAUGGGUAAAGAAGCACCGGCUAACUACGUGCCAGCAGCCGCGGUGAUACGUAGGGUGCGAGCGUUGUCCGGAUUUAUUGGGCGUAAAGGGCUCGUAGGUGGUUGAUCGCGUCGGAAGUGUAAUCUUGGGGCUUAACCCUGAGCGUGCUUUCGAUACGGGUUGACUUGAGGAAGGUAGGGGAGAAUGGAAUUCCUGGUGGAGCGGUGGAAUGCGCAGAUAUCAGGAGGAACACCAGUGGCGAAGGCGGUUCUCUGGGCCUUUCCUGACGCUGAGGAGCGAAAGCGUGGGGAGCGAACAGGCUUAGAUACCCUGGUAGUCCACGCUGUAAACGGUGGGUACUAGGUGUGGGGUCCAUUCCACGGGUUCCGUGCCGUAGCUAACGCUUUAAGUACCCCGCCUGGGGAGUACGGCCGCAAGGCUAAAACUCAAAGGAAUUGACGGGGCCCCGCACAAGCGGCGGAGCAUGCGGAUUAAUUCGAUGCAACGCGUAGAACCUUACCUGGGUUUGACAUGGAUCGGGAGCGCUCAGAGAUGGGUGUGCCUCUUUUGGGGUCGGUUCACAGGUGGUGCAUGGCUGUCGUCAGCUCGUGUCGUGAGAUGUUGGGUUAAGUCCCGCAACGAGCGCAACCCUUGUUCACUGUUGCCAGCACGUUAUGGUGGGGACUCAGUGGAGACCGCCGGGGUCAACUCGGAGGAAGGUAGGGAUGACGUCAAGUCAUCAUGCCCCUUAUGUCCAGGGCUUCACGCAUGCUACAAUGGCUGGUACAGAGAGUGGCGAGCCUGUGAGGGUGAGCGAAUCUCGGAAAGCCGGUCUCAGUUCGGAUUGGGGUCUGCAACUCGACCUCAUGAAGUCGGAGUCGCUAGUAAUCGCAGAUCAGCAACGCUGCGGUGAAUACGUUCCCGGG